rnacentral:lncRNA from 1 species
UAUAAUCUAUAAUGUCUGUCACAUGUUAGCGAAGUGUUUAUCUUAUGAGGGGGUUUUUUUUUUUUUUGGGGUCGCAUCGAGGCAUGUUUGGAACCUAUUUCCUGUAGUGUUUCAAGAUCAGGUAAAAGCUGAUAUGGAGAUUCAUGAAGUAGUUGCUUAGAAUUAUACAAGUGGGGGGGGGGUUCACAAACUCAAGCAAAAUAUAUACAAUAUAAAGUAAAUGAUUUGGAACUAGCAGACUUAUCUACAGAACUCUGAGCUCCGAAGAGAAGACG